rnacentral:lncRNA from 1 species
CAUCUUAGUGACAGUCCAGAACAACUUUCCAUUGUAAAAAUAUAACAUAAAAUUAUGAUAAUGACUAAGGUGGGUCCGAAUUUUACCCCAAAUAACUGAGAUCAAUGAAUGAGAGUUCUUCCAUGGUGACAUUCACAAAAGUAGAGCCCAUAAGAUGGGUACAGGAGCCAGGCUACCCUGAGCUAAGAAGCACCUGGAAGUAUCAAAAUCCAGAAGCAGCAAUGGAACUUUUCCUUUUCCUCAGCAACAAUGUGUCCUGUUGAUACCUUUAUUUUGAGCAUCCAGCUUGCAGAAAUGUGAGAAUCCAUUUCCUGGUUUCUAAGGCACCCAGUUUUGAGUACUUUAUUGUGGAAAAACGAAGACAGAGGAAAAGCCAACAGUCACUUUACUUGCCUGUUAGUAUAUCAUGGGAUCUGGCAAUGGAAAAGUAGCUUUAUGGGUCCACUUUAACUGAAUCAGUCCUUUACCAUCAUGAGUCUCUAUCUUCAGUCCUCUUUCGGUAAUACAGUUAGUGAACAUUUAUUGGACAUGUCUAUGUAUUUACC